GGGUCCUGUAGGCUGGUUCAGAUUUUGUUUUAUCCUAUUUUGAGACCUAGUUUUCAAUUUGAUGUGAGUUAAUAAUAUUGAAGAGACAGAUUUGAAGUUAUGGAUUAUAAACAGUUUCAUUUCAAAAUACAAGAUUCAGUUUUUUCAAAAUUCACUAUAUUUAUAUUUAUCAUAAAUGAUCUCAAAACACUAAUGUUAAUAAAACUACUAAUAAUGUUGUUAGUACAAAUCAUGACUGAAGAUAUGAAAUCCAGAAUCAAAUCUGAAUCCUCCAAGGUGAUAUGCAAAUUCUUUAAACUGCAGCCUUCUGGCUGAGUUUUUUCAGACCUAAUGUUUUUGCGCACUUAAUGAAUAAUAGUGAAAGUAUGUUUUCGGGCUUUUAUAUCAUUAGCAAAUGAAAAAAGACUUGUGAUUUGUUUUGUAGCAGUGGUCUAGAAAGUAACUAUUGCAAUAAUAAAGUAUGCCUGUACAUGAUUUUUAAAUGCUCCUCAAAAAUCAUUUGCCAACCUAAUAAUUUAAAUGCAUUAAUUUUACAUGUUUAUGGUGAGUUACUGGAC
rnacentral:lncRNA from 1 species